UACGUAGGGUGCGAGCGUUAAUCGGAAUUACUGGGCGUAAAGCGUGCGCAGGCGGUUCGUUGUGUCGGUGGUGAAAGCCCCGGGCUUAACCUGGGAAUGGCCAUGGAAACUGGCGAACUGGAGUGUGGCAGAGGGGGGUGGAAUUCCGCGUGUAGCAGUGAAAUGCGUAGAUAUGCGGAGGAACACCGAUGGCGAAGGCAAUCCCCUGGGCCUGUACUGACGCUCAUGCACGAAAGCGUGGGGAGCAAACAGG
rnacentral:rRNA from 1 species